rnacentral:rRNA from 1 species
CCUACGGGAGGCAGCAGUAGGGAAUUUUCCACAAUGGACGAAAGUCUGAUGGAGCAACACCGCGUGCAGGAUGACAGCCUUCGGGUCGUAAACUGCUUUUAUGAGUGAAGCGGUAACUCAAGAAUAAGGGACGGCUAACUACGUGCCAGCAGCCGCGGUCAUACGUAGGUCCCAAGCAUUAUCCGGAAUUACUGGGCGUAAAGAGUGCGUAGGUGGUUUUUCAAGCGGAAAGUGAAAGCGUACGGCUCAACCGUAUACACAUUUUCUGAACUGAUGAACUAGAGGAUGAGAGAGGUUAUUGGAAUUUCUUGUGUAGGAGUGAAAUCCGUAGAUAUAAGAAGGAACACCGAUGGCGUAGGCAGAUAACUGGCUAUCCUGACACUAAGGCACGAAAGCGUGGGGAGCAAACGGGAUUAGAUACCCUUGUAGUC